AGACCCGAAACCCGGUGAUCUAGCCAUGGGCAGGUUGAAGGUUGGGUAACACUAACUGGAGGACCGAACCGACUAAUGUUGAAAAAUUAGCGGAUGACCUGUGGCUGGGGGUGAAAGGCCAAUCAAACCGGGAGAUAGCUGGUUCUCCCCGAAAGCUAUUUAGGUAGCGCCUCGUGAAUUCAUCUCCGGGGGUAGAGCACUGUUUCGGCUAGGGGGCCAUCCCGGCUUACCAACCCGAUGCAAACUGCGAAUACCGGAGAAUGUUAUCACGGGAGACACACGGCGGGUGCUAACGUCCGUCGUGAAGAGGGAAACAACCCAGACCGCCAGCUAAGGUCCCAAAGUCAUGGUUAAGUGGGAAACGAUGUGGGAAGGCCCAGACAGCCAGGAUGUUGGCUUAGAAGCAGCCAUCAUUUAAAGAAAGCGUAAUAGCUCACUGGUCGAGUCGGCCUGCGCGGAAGAUGUAACGGGGCUAAACCAUGCACCGAAGCUGCGGCAGCGACACUCAGGUGUUGUUGGGUAGGGGAGCGUUCUGUAAGCCUGCGAAGGUGGCCUGUGAGGGU
rnacentral:rRNA from 1 species